rnacentral:lncRNA from 1 species
GUUAAAUAAGAACUAUGUUGGAUCUCCAUUUUACAUUUUUCAAUGAAGUUCUUACUUUCAACUUUGGAGUCUAUGUGAAUGAAAAUGUGCCUCAUAGCUUGCAUCUGAUGCAGCUGAUUGCCUUGUUCAGGUCAGCAUGAACAAAGAUGACAAUAAGUCUACUAGGUAAAGGUUGAGUUUAUCAAAUAGGACGAAAAGGCAAUAUUAAGUCCCAGAAGAAGUAAAAACUCCUAGUCAUGCAACAACAGGAAAACUAGGAGAUGAAAUCUCCAAAAUUUUAUCUAGUCUGCAUGAUCCUGGUUCUUCAAUGAGCAGGUAUUGAGUGGAGGAUUUUCCAAUUCCCCAUUAGAAACAAAUGGCUUUCAUUUCCCUUUAGUGCAAAGGGAUAAACACUACAUUGAGAGGGAGCAAAAUGCUCUUCCAUUUCAUCUCAGUUAAUGUUCCCUCUCUUUAAAAAGAAAACCUUUUAAAAAUUUUCUUGAUUGAAGCCAUUUUAGAAUAUACUGAUUCAAUUUAAAAUUCCUGAAUAGAACUAAGGAAUAUAAUUUUUACUUUUCAAGUCUUUGAAGAAAGAGCAGUACUGUUUUUGAUCCUUAGAGCAUUAUCCUUUUAAGUGAACCCCUCUAUCUUUUAGUUGUGUGUGUAUGUAGGAUAAAACUGAAAUAGCAUUAAAGUGGUUACCUGGCGUUUCCUGUUUCUUAACAUAGGCACCCCCCCCACACACACCCCAUCACAUUAUUCAUUGUACAUGAGAUACUGGGUUAAGUGGGCCAAAGGGAAAAUCUCAAAAGCAAAAUGACAAAUUCAGACUAACCACAGGAGGUCAUUUUGCAUCUCUGUGACUUGUCAUCCUUUUAAAAGACAUGUAAGUGUGUGCCACGUCCUUUUGUAACCAUGGGAACUUCUGAAGAGAGAAAAAUGGAGGGGAACCAUCAUAAGGAAAACAAUUACACUGCAUUAGUCAGAGGAGAGUGAUUUUCCCCUUGACUUUCCUCCUCUCUGAAUGGAUAAACUUCUGAAGGGCAGCUACCUUUUCCUCCUCUUAACCACAGCUUAAUGUGACCUUAGUUUGUAUGUCUAAAAACAAGUAGUACUAGGUCAGGGGUGCUGGAAAUGUAUGUGCCUUUUCUCUAGAGUAAGCAAUUCAAUUCGAUUUAGACAUGUACAAUAUUUUUUGUUUUAUUCCUUACUUGAGUGCUUAAAAUUAGCUAAAGUUUGUCAUGCUUAUAUGAAUAGUAUUUUCCUUCUAGGUUUCUUUUUAAAAUUCUGAAUAAACAUAUUCCUGCAGGUCAGAGAAAGUGUUUGAUAAAAGCAUAGAUUUAUGACUUUGGAAGUGGAAAUGAAGUCACUUGUUAGUCCAGGAAAACUGGUUGGUGAUCAGUUGGGUCUCUCACAGCUUCUUGAUGACAGAGUUAACUUUUACUGAUUAACUUUUCUUGAUCUAACUCAAUUCUACUGAAAAUUGUGUAUAGUAUGGACAUUAUUAAAACAAACCAAAGUAGCAAUAUAAAAUCAUCACUAUUAACUAAGACAAUUUUGUAGGAUCAGAUUUCUAAAUGCUUCUGUUUAACUCUUCAAAUUAUAGUCUUCUUGUCCUUCUCUUUGAUAUAGGCUGCUAAAAGAAACAGUCAUUGAUCAAGUUUAGAGGGAAGAAGAUAAGAUACAACUAGAAAGGAAAAGGAAAAAGUAGACAGAAACUGGCCUAAGAAUGUGGCUCUGAAGAGAAGACAGGAUUUUGGCGAUCCUUGCUGAGCAUAUCUAUUGGAGGAGAGCCAAUAAAGUUUUACAAAAAUCAUUAUGGUAAAUUAAAAGUAAAUUACAUAUUGGAUCCCAGACUGGCUUUGCUGAGCUUUUCACCAAGUACUCAGCAUUGGCGUCCUAUUUUCAUAUUUUUUCCUUUUACCACAUGAACUGGGAUAUGACUAAUGCAAAUUCAGGAUUAAUAAAUUAUCCUCAAGUUUAUUUAGUGCCUUGCCUCAAUGGAGCUUAAAGCACAGCACAUAAAUUUUAUCACUAAGAAGCAACUAGGAACUAUGGCUUGCCAGACAGGUUAUGCUCAUGCCAGAGAAAUGGACAGGCUUGAAAUUACUUGUCAGGUAUCUCAGAGUAAGAAAAGACAGAGUCUUUAGGCUUUGGAUUACUUCCCUCUGGAUUAAUCAUCAUCUCUUAGUACUCCUAUUUCCAAAUAUAUUUAUUCAAUCAACAUUUCUAUAAUCAAAGCACUUGAUAGGCUUCUUCCUCAAUAUUUUUUAACAUAAUGCUUCUGUUGCAUCUUAAAUCAUGGAAAAAUAUCCGAUUAUUU